rnacentral:pre_miRNA from 1 species
GAUCUACUCCCUCCGUCCAACAAAAGAUGUCUCAAGUUUGUCAAAAUUUGGAUGUAUCUAGACAUGACUUAGUGUAUAGAUGCAUUCAAAUUUAGUCAAAGUUGAGACAUCCUUUGUUGGACGGAGGAAGUAUGUU